rnacentral:rRNA from 1 species
GAUGAACGCUGGCGGCGUGCCUAAUACAUGCAAGUCGAGCGAACAGACGAGGAGCUUGCUCCUCUGACGUUAGCGGCGGACGGGUGAGUAACACGUGGAUAACCUACCUAUAAGACUGGGAUAACUUCGGGAAACCGGAGCUAAUACCGGAUAAUAUAUUGAACCGCAUGGUUCAAUAGUGAAAGACGGUUUUGCUGUCACUUAUAGAUGGAUCCGCGCCGCAUUAGCUAGUUGGUAAGGUAACGGCUUACCAAGGCAACGAUGCGUAGCCGACCUGAGAGGGUGAUCGGCCACACUGGAACUGAGACACGGUCCAGACUCCUACGGGAGGCAGCAGUAGGGAAUCUUCCGCAAAGGGCGAAAGCUUGACGGAGCAACGCCGCGUGAGUGAUGAAGGUCUUCGGAUCGUAAAACUCUGUUAUUAGGGAAGAACAAAUGUGUAAGUAGCUAUGCACGUCUUGACGGUACCUAAUCAGAAAGCCACGGCUAACUACGUG